UACAGAGACUGCGAGCGUUAUUCGGAUUCACUGGGCGUAAAGGGUGCGCAGGCGGCUAUGUGUGUUGGGCGCGAAAGCCCGGGGCUUAACCCCGGAAUUGCACCCAAAACUACAUGGCUAGAGCAUUGGAGAGGGUAGCAGAAUUCAUGGUGUAGCAGUGAAAUGCGUAGAUAUCGAGAGGAACACCAGUGGCGAAGGCGAGUCCCUGGACAGGUCCUGACGCUGAGGCACGAAAGCUAGGGGAGCAAACAGG
rnacentral:rRNA from 1 species